GUGUUCAAAGAUUGAAGUGAGGACAAAACUCAAUAGAAUUAUUUUUUCGUGAGACUUGGAACAAAAAAAUAAUCAGAUAGUUCAAGUUAAGUUAAAAAUGUCAAAGAUGAAAACAAUUCACUCAUUUUUCAAGAGAAAAGAGAGAAUAUAUGAUGAACAAAAUUCAGCUUCAGAUUCUUUGAGUAAUGUUCAAAAUAUUAUUGAACAACCUGUGACACAACUUGUUGAGCAAGAUAUUCAACCCCCUGCUUCCAAAAUAACAAGGACUGAAAUAGAUCAAGUUAAUAUUGAUACAUUGAUGCGUGAUCCCGGAAAGCGUCCGCAAAUUUGGUUUCAAGUUAUUCAGUGUUUGCAACAUAUGCAAUCUUGUAAAGAAUUUCUAUUCUUUAGAUUUUUCUGAGCAAGAAAAGAUUCAAUUGGAUUAUGAGUUACAACAUUAUGAACUUGAUGUGGUUAAAGCUCCAGAUUUUCAGAAUUUGUCUGCUCUUGCUGAAUUGUGUCAAAAAUUGACAGAGACAGGAAAAUCAAAUAUAUAUCCUUUAAUUGAUAGAUUAAUUCGUCUUGUUUUGACUCUUCCUGUGACAACAGCAACAACUGAACGGGCCUUUUCAGCUAUGAAGAUUAUUAAAACAAGGCUUCGAAACAAGAUGGAAGAUGAAUUUUUAGCAGAUUAUAUGAUUGUAUAUAUUAAAAAGAAAAUUGCUUCAAAAUUCACUUCAGAGAUGAUAAUUGAUGAUUUUAGUUCCAUGAAGCAUCGUCAAGCAAGUUUAAAAAUAUCAAAAUCUUAAAGUAUGUAGUUGAACAUUGACUUUUAUAUAAUAUAAUUACUUUUUUGAUAUAUAUGCUACAAAUCAUAUUUUGUUAAUUUUUUGUUAUAUUUAUAUUUAAUUGGCCCCCCUCUUAUGAAAUUUCUGGUUCCGCCACUGCUUCCAAGGCUCAUAAAAUGUUAGUUGAUUCUCUAAACUGGAGAGUACAAAAUGAGAUUGACAACAUUUUAUCCAUAAGUUUAUGUUUUUGAUGAUCCUUUUAACUUAUUAUUUCUGUUUCUUUUAUUUGUUUAUUUUUCUUUGAAUAAAUGACCAAAUGUACCCAUGAAAGAUGGAAACGCUGACAAUUGUACCCAUAGCAGACCAAAACUAACUUUGUACCCAUUGAAGAUGCGGUCCGUGUGACAGAAAUACCCUGCCUUGGUUUGACACCAGGUUCGUGCUUAUACGAACCUACGUGGCACUCCAAACCCCCCAAACCCCUAUCUACGUGGAUUAAACCCUUUUUUUUUUUGCUAACUGUUUGGUUUUUGAGAUCCAUUGCGCGGGAGAGGAAAGGUGUGCCCUAGCAGAGGACUUCUGGUCGCGAUCAAUUGCUUUCCCAGUCGGAGACGUGUUGUGAAUAACGACGACGCGAAGAAGGUGAAUCAAGGGGUUUCGUCAUCGUUGUCCCCAAGGUGAAGAAGCCUGUACGAAGCCAAUACGUCGCCCAAGGGUGUCGUGGUGG